rnacentral:lncRNA from 1 species
UGUGUGGAGAGCAAGAUCUACCUCUGUACACUGUGCUCAGAAUCCCAUGAGCACUGUGCUCACACACACUGUGCCAUCGAAACCGCUGGUGAGAGCCAAAUGGAGAAACUUUUAAUAAAAAUGGCAUCAAUAUGGGAGAAGAUGGAAGAAAAUCAGCAGAACCUAGAGGAAGAGGAUAGUAUGAUAACUCAGUUCAGAGUGAGUAUGAGAUUCAGUCUUAAAAUCUGGUUGAUGCCGAUAUUUUUGAAAAAUUCUCAUUAAACAUUUUGGUAAAAGGCAUGGGACAUAUUACUAGGAUAUCAUGUUCUAC